UGACCCUCCUUCUAAAGUUUCAAAAACAUACUAUAUUCAGCCAAGGAGAAUUUUUACGCAUCACCGAAAAAUGAAUCGUAAGAAAUAUCAACUGAUUAAUCCAAACACAUGGUAGUUUCAAUAAGAUAUGUUUUGUUUAACAGUAUUUGGGAGCAUGGCAUGAUGUUUGGGAAUUAGAAAAGGGAAAUUAAAUUAUUGAAAUAUAUUCAAUGUUGGGAAGCUGCUUCAAGGAUUUGGAACCUCACCCAUAAACCCUUCUAUGUUUACUGUUGUGUUUUACUCCUUCUACGUAAGUGUGCUUUAAUAUAGUUUAUUGUUCAUUUAAUUAUAUGUUAGUUUAGGGCUACUUUGAUUAAAUAUGUGCUGGAAUGUUCUUUAUUGUUAAUAAAAUGUGGAGUCACUAUGAAAUCUC
rnacentral:lncRNA from 1 species